UAUAGAAAUUGAGCUCUUAGAUCCCUGUGUCUGCUUCUUUAAUUACCUUUAUACCUUGGUUUAAAUCUUCAGCUCAGAAAAAUAAUGAAAGGUUCCUAGUCCAGCAUGGGAGACGCUUUGUCUGCCCUGUUCAUUAAUUGGCCUCCUCUUGAUCUCAGUUGUUUAGUUUAAAGAAUGCAGGCUGUUUUGGAAAGCUGCCUAUUUUUGUUAGUUGGAGCAUUACUUGUAGUAAAGGAAAUUUACAUCUCUGGAAGAAGUUUCCAAUAAUGGGGUUAUUUUCCUGCUGCACUAGACAGAGAGGAGGGCCCGAGUCGCUGGAGGCUUUUACAAUAGAGAAGAUAAGAAGAGUUAUGGUCUUUGUAACAAACCACAGCUUUGACCAUUUGUUUUAAGGAGGAUUCCUACUUGCACAUUAUUUUUUCUCUCCACAGAUGAGGAUACUUAGGUCUGAAAUCUGACUACAAUGAACACCUAUACUAAUAAUUGUUUAAGACGUCAAGCAUGUCUAUCAAAAGGGCAAGGGUCCCUUGUUUCAAUUCACUUGCAGAAAUGAGUGAAAUCAUUGGGGGAUGAAGAAAAUAUUCUCAGAGUGAAUGACUGCUGAUAAAGGUAUUUCUUUCAUAAGCUGAAAUCACUUAUAAUAAUGACAUAGCUGCUUCAUGUAUAUGCAGGCUGGAGUUUAUGAAAGGCAUCCUAUGUCUCCACUUGUGACUAAGAAAAAUCAUCAGUGUUGACAAACUUGUAGGUAGACUGACCGAGAACAAGGACAGAAGACUCACUAUACUAACAUUAGCCGUGGAAGUGGGAGUAUCAGUACCAAAUUUAAAGAAGAAAAAGGCAAACAAGGAAUAAUAGGAUGAUUGUAUGACAGCAAAGUAUACAACCUACAAGAGAUGGACAAUUUCCAAAACAUCCAUGAGAUACUGACUCUGACUCAGAAAGAAAUAGAAAAAUCUGAAUAGACCUGUCACAAGUAAAACAAUUGAACUGAUAACAAUAAGCAAAGCACAAAAUAAAACAAAUAAGGUACAAAUUGCUUCAAACAGUUGAAGGAUAAAUACUGAUCCUUUGCACAAUCUUUCAAUAAUUAGAAAAAGAGCUAGCAUUUACAAAUUCACUGUAUAAAUUGUUAACAUUGUUCAUUUCCAUCUACUGAUAUCUAAAACCACACAGAGACAUCACAAGAUGCAGAAUCCUCAACAAACAGCCAUGAAACUUAUUUCAUAAAAAUCUACAAAGUGUUAUAUAUCAUGGUUAACUUGGGUUACUUCUAACGAUGUUGCUUUGGCAUGUAGAAAUCAAUCAUUUUAUAUUCUAUAUUAACAAAAUAAUGAAGAAAAAUAACAACAAGCUCAAUAAUUGUAAAAAAAGUAAUUUGAGAAAAUCGGAUUCAUUUUAAAGACAAUAAACACAUAAUAGAGAGACACAUUCUUAAUUUGAUACAGGCAAUCUACAAGUAUUACACUUAAUGGUGAAAGGGAACUACUUCUUCCUAUUAUCAGAAAUAAAACAGGGGUAUCUACUUUUACCACUUCUGUUUUAACGAUGUAUUGGAAAUUCUAUCCAUGUGAACUAGACAAAAGAAAGAAAUAAAGAUUCAUAUUGGAGAAGAAGUCAUAAAUGAUCUCUGUCACAACUGACAUGGUCUUAUCAUCAUACUUUCCCCUUUCUUCUUAUAAGGCUUAAAUGUAAUUGUACAUAAUAGUGAGUAUAACAAAGUAUAAAAAGGAAUAAUAAUAAAAUGAGCACCAUUUUUUUCUAGAAGACUAAAAGUAAUCUGUAGAAGUGAAACUGACACGUUGAGAUGCAAUGACUUUGAACAGUCCUUGUCUCAGAUAUUGAGAAACAUCUUUUUUCAUACUAUUUGUUGAACUCUUUACUUGCUGUAGGGUCAAUCUUUCGUGUAUAAAAUUAAAUGAAAAUAGAUCUUAUUGAAAAAUAAGA